CCAAACUGAUAGAAUUUAUAGAUGGUGAAUAUGAUCACAUUCAGGCUGUCCUACUUACAUCCUCUCCAUUCUUUCCAGGGGGUCCAGCAGCACCACGGGGUCCCAUGGCACCCUGUAGAGAAAGACAUAUUUAAAAGAUCUCAGCAGUCGUCCAGCCAAUGAAGAGAAAAUCCACUUUCAAAAACCAGUGAGAAAAAAAACAAAAAAAGGGGGUUGAGAAGCUCCAGUAAACAAUGGUGAAACUUACGGUCGUCCUCGCCCUGCGCCCUGACCAGGAGCACCACUGCGCCGAGCAGCAGCGCCCGCCGCAAAUCCACAAAGCUGAACAUAUCUAGAUGCCACUAGACAUGUAGACUCUUUGAGGCAAGAGAGGAAAAAAGUUGGGGAUGUUUUCUCUUUCUGCUACACUCCACUCAUACACGGGUGUUUGGGGCAGGGUCCGCUUGUCUGUUCACAAUCCUCCUGACCCCAGCAGAAAACUCCCUACUGCCUACACAAACUUUCCACCAGGGUUUUUAUAUGGGAGCUGGAAGAACUGGGAGGUGCUGGGGACCGGACUGAGUGGGGACGCACCCUCAUUAUCCAGCUGCUGCCGCUCACGUUUAGGGAAGACAAGAAUGGACCCCUCCUUCAAAGAGAGAAAAAAACAGAAGAAAAGAAGAAGGAAAAUCAGCAGGUCCCUCCUUCCAUAAUUCCACAGCAGAAGGGUUGGAGUUUGGAUCAGAGCAGGAAGGGGGGCUGAGGAAACCUGAUCUUGAGGAGCAUCGGAGGGUCGGAGGAGGAUCUCCUCCUACAGCAGCCAUGGGUUUUAAUCCAGAUUUUAACUAUACUCUAGUCUACUUCCUGACUCACUUUGAUUUCAGUAGAUUAUUAGAAAACUUGAAGAUGCAUUUUUUCAGUUUUAGGUUUUCAAAAACAUUUCUAGAUCUUGAUUCGGCUUUGUUCUCACACUUUUUAGUCCACACACAGUUUGUUCUAGGCUUUGUUGCAGCUAAGUACUUCAACUUUCUUUUAAAGUGGUCGUAGAUUUUCUGAUUGUUGUUUUAGGUUUCCUGAGGUUUUCCUGGGUUUAAGGUAUCUGAGCGUUAAUGUGCAGAACAUGGCUGUAGGCUCAAUAGUGUUUGUUCUACUUCAUAGGUCUAACUCAGCUUGUGUUUUUGCUUCUGUUCCUGAAUUACUAAAGAUAAUUUGGAAGUUUAACCUCAGGGUUGGAAGGUUUUUUGGUUCCUUCGUUGAUUUAUCUCUUGCAGCAAAUUCACCCAGACAUUUGGGUCUUUUUUAAAUAAAGAAAUUCUUUGACCAAUUUUAUUUUUCGGGAAAUGUCUUUUCCCCGAGCUAUAAAAAGACCCCACAUUGUCAAAACAAAUGUAUUGGUUAAAACAUCACACGUGUAUUAAACAUAAUACAGACACGUUUAAACAUGAUAAAAUAGAUAUUUGGCCACUUGGGACAGCAGAAAUAAUUUGUGAACUUAACAUUUACUUAACUUCAUCUUCUUCGUUAAUUUGGCUAAUGUGCUAGCUAGCGGAAGCUAAUUUAAACACAGCACUUAUGGAAAACAUCAGCAUCAGUCUGGAAUAAUGUGUUUGUUUUUUUUAUUAAUAAAUAAUAAAAGUCUGACAUUCA